CAUUUAGUAUUUUUAGUAGUGAUAAUUUAACCGUCAUGUUAGCUUAGGUUAGUUGGUUGGUCGCUAAUAAAAUUACUUUGUUUCCAUGAGAUUAUUGCACUUUAAUUGCCAUACUACUGCUUGAUUCUGCUCAUUAUUUAAUCUGUUGUCUAUCUGCGAUUAGGUUACGCUUAGUUGCCUAAUCGGUGUUUAAUCUUCGCUUAGUUGAUUAGACUGCAUGGUGGAUGACUGAUUGGAUUUGAGCAUUGCAUUCGCUUAGUUUGCAAUUCUGAAGACCGAAUUACCCUUCGCUUAGUUGGGUGAUUCGUGUUGGAUUUGGAUUAGAGUAGUGUGUACUUGUCUUUAAUCUGGGAUUGGAAGCAUAGUGAUUAAGUUCAUGACCGACCGUUUUUAUUCUGCAUUUGAUUCCAUUUCUGUUUAUAUCUGUGUUUGCAUUUUUGUUUACGUCUGUUUUUACAUUUCUGUUUGCAUCCGUCCUUUGAUUUAAUUCGUCCGCAUUCACAAACUUUUCACAACCCCCCCUCCCCACUUUGUGUUUGACCUAAGACUCGAACCAUAGUUUGGUCCUUGAGAGAUGGCCUAAGAGUCAUUCCUAGCUAUACUGCAUUUCUAAUAUGCAAUUAAAUUUGUAUGGGCCGCGACAACCCAUCAGAGGCUAAUCCAGGGGUUGUCGCGAAGAAGCAUUGUCGCUGCUGUAGACGUAAGUUAUUCCUUCAAUCAAUUGCUUCAAAUUAUGUACGUUUUGGUGGCUGCCCUCUUUGUGAUGCAUGUGUGAGUUAACUUUGUAUGUAUGUACUGGAAUUAUGAUAGCUCUGGUAUAAAUGGGAAAAGAACA
rnacentral:lncRNA from 1 species